rnacentral:tRNA from 1 species
AGAAAAGUAAGCUAAAUAAAGCUAGGGGGUUCAUACCCCCCUUAUAGAGGCCCCCCUCUCUCUUCUA